rnacentral:rRNA from 1 species
GCAGUAGCCGCGGUAAUACGUAGGUGGCAAGCGUUGUCCGGAAUUAUUGGGCGUAAAGGGCUCGCAGGCGGUUUCUUAAGUCUGAUGUGAAAGCCCCCGGCUCAACCGGGGAGGGUCAUUGGAAACUGGGAAACUUGAGUGCAGAAGAGGAGAGUGGAAUUCCACGUGUAGCGGUGAAAUGCGUAGAGAUGUGGAGGAACACCAGUGGCGAAGGCGACUCUCUGGUCUGUGACUGACGCUGAGGAGCGAAAGCGUGGGGAGCGAACUGGAUUAGAUACCCGUGUAGUCCCUGUCUCUUAUAC